GUCUGAGAGGAUGGCCAGCCACAUCGGGACUGAGACACGGCCCGGACUCCUACGGGAGGCAGCAGUCGGGAAUAUUGGACAAUGGGCGCAAGCCUGAUCCAGCAAUACCGCGUGUGUGAAGAAGGCCUGCGGGUUGUAAAGCACUUUCAGUUGGGAAGAUAAUGACGUUAC
rnacentral:rRNA from 1 species